rnacentral:lncRNA from 1 species
GAGGGAAAUGCCAAAAGUUGGUGGGAAUUUUCUCCUCCCUCAUCUGAGAGAUGGAUUUGCUGGGGCUGUAAGAGGUUCUCCAGGGUCUGCCAGAGGAUCUCAAUGGAAAUCACUUUAAUUUGAGGAGAAUCCUUUCUGUUCUCAAAGCAUUAUUUUGAGCCAAUUCUUUCCUGCUGUGUGAUUUUUGCAAUAUGAAGACUUGACACAGAAUUGUCCUGUGGGUAAAGGCUUGGCCAGAGGCUGGAAGGAGAAGUAUUCAGAAACAGUUUUUGUUUGAUUUUGGAUGUUCCUCUAGGUUUUCCCUGUCACUUAACCUCCUGUCUGUGACAUGGGAAAUUCUUUUUCUUGCCUUAGUGGGCUUCUAUAAGAAUAUAUACUUAGAGAGUCAUGAGAACUGCAAACUGUGGGGCUUGGCCAGGAGCACAGAGGAGCACUCUGGAGCAGCCAGCAGAGAUGGAAGUGUUCCCUUCUGUGACCACGGUCCCAGUUUGCAGGCUGCCUUCACAAUCAGGUCUCCUGGUGCCAAUGGUGACCAGAAGUUUCUGCUGCUCCCGAGACAGCACCAAAACUCUGCAGCGCCGGUUCCAGAGACAGCAGCACAAGAAAGUGUGAGCAGUAUUCAUCCACUGCUGUGGAGGGAGCUGUGAUUUACAGUGGUCUGCGGUGCCUAGAACACAAAAAUGAAUAUUUAAA